ACGCUCACUUCAGCAGCACAAGUACUAAAAUUGGAACUAUAUAAAGAUUAGCAUGGCCCCUGAGCAAGGAUGACAUGCAAAUUCCUGGGUGCUCUGACAAAAGU